GGUGAAGCUGAGACAUGAAACCCAAUCUUCCCAGAGCCUCAGCAAGCUUGUCCCUUUCCAGUACGAAUGUUCCCUCGCAAUUUUUAUGAGUCUUCAGGGGAAGAUGAGAACUAGCCCACUUGAAGGUGCAGCAUGUUUGCCCAGGCUCUAUGGCACAGGAGAGUUCAGGCCGACUUUCUCACCAUGUAACGAUGCUACUAAUACUUCCAUUUUACUGAUGAAGAAGCUGAGGCUGGUGGAGAAUAAGCAACCUGUCCAAUGUCACAUGUUUGGGAAGUGAAUUCAAAUCAUUGUGAUUCCAAAGCCCAUCUCUUGAGA